AGCAGCCGCGGUAAUUCCAGCUCCAAUAGCGUAUAUUAAAGUUGUUGCAGUUAAAAGCUCGUAGUUGAAUUUCGGGGUCAGCAGGUUGGUCGUGCCAAUGGUAUGCACUGGCCUUGCUGAUUCCUCCCUCUUGAUGAGCCGUAAUGCCAUUAAUUUGGUGUUGCGGGGAAUCAGGACUGUUACUUUGAAAAAUUAGAGUGUUUAAAGCAGGCAAGCGCUUGAAUACAUUAGCAUGGAAUAAUGAAAUAGGACGUUUGAUCCUAUUUUGUUGGUUUCUAGGAUUGACGUAAUGAUUAAUAGGGAUAGUUGGGGGCAUUAGUAUUCAAUUGUCAGAGGUGAAAUUCUUGGAUUUAUUGAAGACUAACUACUGCGAAAGCAUUUGCCAAGGAUGUUUUCAUUAAUCAAGAACGAAAGUUAGGGAUCGAAGACGAUCAGAUACCGUCGUAGUCU
rnacentral:rRNA from 1 species